AGUGAACGCUGGCGGUAGGCCUAACACAUGCAAGUCGAACGGCAGCACAGUAAGAGCUUGCUCUUACGGGUGGCGAGUGGCGGACGGGUGAGGAAUACAUCGGAAUCUACUUUUUCGUGGGGGAUAACGUAGGGAAACUUACGCUAAUACCGCAUACGACCUACGGGUGAAAGCAGGGGAUCUUCGGACCUUGCGCGAUUGAAUGAGCCGAUGUCGGAUUAGCUAGUUGGCGGGGUAAAGGCCCACCAAGGCGACGAUCCGUAGCUGGUCUGAGAGGAUGAUCAGCCACACUCGACCUGAGACACGGUCCAGACUCCUACGGGAGGCAGCAGUGGGGAAUAUUGGACAAUGGGCGCAAGCCUGAUCCAGCCAUACCGCGUGGGUGAAGAAGGCCUUCGGGUUGUAAAGCCCUUUUGUUGGGAAAGAAAAGCAGCAGGUUAAUACCCCGCUGUUCUGACGGUACCCAAAGAAUAAGCACCGGCUAACUUCGU
rnacentral:rRNA from 1 species